GAUGAAACCAUUGACGACUGGGGGAUGGAAAGGCAGUCAUGUAGACUUAUCUUUAAUCCUUAAUAGAUUCAGAUCUGUAAUAGAUUUUUACAAUUUCUCCUUUGAAUAACUUCAGUGACCCCCCUCCCUUUUGAAAUACAGAUGUUGAACUUGUAUCAAAGGCUCCCAGUGUCAGACUCCUAGUCUACAGCACAUGCGUUAAGGGGAGAUACAGAGUAGUAUUCAAAGUGUUUAGCUUGCCAUUUCCGUGAAGUUUGAGAGGUAGCCAGAUUUUUACAGUUCCAGAGCUUAGAAUUGAAAUAGUGUAUGAAAAUGACUCAGACUGGUUUUAUAUGUGUGAUGAUAUCGUGUUUAUUGUAGAAUGUUACUGCAAAGUCAUGUGUUUUCAACAAUACACAUGACACACUGAGGUUGUUUCCUUGACAUCUUUUUCCAAUUGGUCAAGGUUGCAGAUAUAGAGGAUAAAACGUUGCAUUGAGAAUGAAUUCAUGUUUACUGGUAACUCAUGUUUUAAAAAGUGAUCUGCCAAAGAACCAAGAACUUCAGAUACUAAUAAAAUUGUUGUGGGGGAAGAGAUUUUUAAAAGGAUGUUAUUACCUUUAUCUUUCUAGUUGAUAGAACUUAUCCUAUAUAAUAAACAUUGAAGCAAAGUGAAUAUAAUAAGAAAAAUGUGGACACUUGUUUGUUUAAAUAGAGAGUUAAAAUAAUGGAGAAUGUGUCAGUAGUUUUUAAGUGGGGUGAGUGGCAUUCCCUUUGUGACAAGAAUACCUGUUUAGCCUCGUUGAUAAGCAUGAAGUGUUAGCCCUCACUGGUUCUACCAGAAAACAGGAAGCACCGAACAGAUCUUUAACUCUCCACUGCC
rnacentral:lncRNA from 1 species